GGCAUUUAACAAUUGGUAUUGUUGGCGGUCUACAGGGGCUUGUGCAGUUCUCCAUGGGAGAGAACGCACGACUCUAGAGGUAGUGACAGGGGCCACCAAAUUGAAAGUUUGACAAUGCGCGGUCGGUAGGAAAACAUGGACAACAAAAGGGGCCUACAGAUUCAACAUAACAUUUGGUGAAAUCACAGUCAGAGUGUAGAGUAUGGAUUCAAACCAUACAUUUGUUGAUUAGGGUUUGCAUUUGGAAUUGACGUGUUAGUUCGCAGGUGUGUUAUGUUAGUUUCUGCCAUGGAUUGGCGACUUAAAUUUUUGAAGCAGAUACUUAUGCGGUAACUGGAAGGGGCUCAAUUAUUUGAAUAUUCUAAUGGAUGCCGAAAAACCAUAGUAACAAUUGUGUAAUGAGAAUCUUCUUUAGAAACAGACCCAGUUUCUGAGUCCAAAUGAGUACUCUGCCUUCACGGGAGAAUUUUUUAACAUGUACAAGCAUCGCCAUUUUCUCCAUGAUGUUGCUAAGAAGAGUUAUAUUCUACAAGUAUGGGUGGGGAGUAGAAGCUCACUUUACACCAAUUAUUUUGCUUUCCAUAGGAGUAGCCUUAUUAGGUCUCAUACUCUAUGGGGAGCCACUUGCUCCUAUACUGGAUAAAGUUGGUUUGAUAACUCUUUUGGCAGCAGUAUAUGUUGGGGCUCUCCAAAAUAUUUUCAGCAAGAGUGCCAAGUACAACUUGUUUGAUCCUUGCAAAGAGAUGGCCUAUAUUCCUCUUGAUGAUGAUACCAAGGUCUUUGAAUGCAAAAGCUCAGAACAAUAAAAAAAACAGUCAGAAAGCCUACAGUCAAGCUCGGAAUAGCCAGAAAAGUCUACAAAGAAAUUGAAUCAAACAAGGCAAAUGAAAUUAAAUAGUUCAUUACCAUUGUAAUAGUUUUGUACAUAUUUAAUUGACAAACAAUGUAAAUCAACUAACAAUGCUCAAGAAAUAUAUGUCAAUAUAUAUACAUAUUUCCUCCUUUU